CCUACGGGUGGCAGCAGUGAGGAAUAUUGGUCAAUGGGCGCAAGCCUGAACCAGCCAAGUCGCGUGAGGGAUGAAGGCCCUAUGGAUCGUAAACCUCUUUUAUAAGGGAAUAAAGUGUGGGACGUGUCCCGUUUUGUAUGUACCAUAUGAAUAAGGAUCGGCUAACUCCGUGCCAGCAGCCGCGGUAAUACGGAGGAUCCGAGCGUUAUCCGGAUUUAUUGGGUUUAAAGGGAGCGUAGGUGGAUUGUUAAGUCAGUUGUGAAAGUUUGCGGCUCAACCGUAAAAUUGCAGUUGAUACUGGCAGACUUGAGUACAGUAGAGGUGGGCGGAAUUCGUGGUGUAGCGGUGAAAUGCAUAGAUAUCACGAAGAACUCCGAUUGCGAAGGCAGCAUACCGGCGCGCAACUGACGCUGAGGCACGAAAGCGUGGGGAUCAAACAGGAUUAGAUACCCGAGUAGUC
rnacentral:rRNA from 1 species